rnacentral:rRNA from 1 species
UGACCCCGUAACUUCGGGAGAAGGGGUGCUCUUUAGGGUUAACGCCCAGAAGAGCCGCAGUGAAUAGGCCCAAGCGACUGUUUAUCAAAAACACAGGUCUCUGCUAAACCGUAAGGUGAUGUAUAGGGGCUGACGCCUGCCCGGUGCUGGAAGGUUAAGAGGAGUGGUUAGCUUCUGCGAAGCUACGAAUCGAAGCCCCAGUAAACGGCGGCCGUAACUAUAACGGUCCUAAGGUAGCGAAAUUCCUUGUCGGGUAAGUUCCGACCCGCACGAAAGGCGUAACGAUUUGGGCACUGUCUCAACGAGAGACUCGGUGAAAUCAUAGUACCUGUGAAGAUGCAGGUUACCCGCGACAGGACGGAAAGACCCCGUGGAGCUUUACUGUAGCCUGAUAUUGAAAUUCGGCACAGCUUGUACAGGAUAGG